CACCGCGGUUAUACGAGAGGCCCAAGUUGACAGCCCCCGGCGUAAAGAGUGGUUAGGAGACAAUAUGAAACUAAAGCCGAACACUCUCAGGACUGUUAUACGUGUCCGAGAGCAAGAAGCCCCCCCCACGAAAGUGGCUUUAACUCUUCUGAACCCACGAAAGCUGGGAAA
rnacentral:rRNA from 1 species